rnacentral:tRNA from 1 species
GCCGGGAUAGCUCAGUUGGUAGAGCAGAGGACUGAAAAUCCUCCCUCGUGUCACCACUUGGCA